GAUGCUUAGUGUGUGUAAAUGAUGCAGUGCUUAUUUGGAAUUAUGUUGCUUUGUUUGUGUUGAAAUAUGCAUUAUGAAUAGGCAUGUAAAGCAAUCUGGCCGAAUUUGACAAGACUGGACUUUUAAAUCUAUAUCUUGAGUUUUAUAAUUUCAAAUGACCUGAAACUUAUGGAAAAUUAAAUUUAAGAUAUAAUGCUAAAACUUUUAUGAAGACAAGUCGCUCUAAUUCUAUGUGUAAAUACCUUGAAUAAUUGCUAGAAGUUGAAUUACAAAAUCUGGAACCUAGGAAUAAGGUACCCUGAACAGUCUAGAUUAAAAUGGGUAUAACUCACCCCAGGAAAUUCCAAAUGAGGUGAUUCUUGAUUUUUUAAAAAGCUAAGACAUAAAGAAAUAACUUUCAUGAGGAACAAAAUGACAAAUUCUAAUUAUAACUAGUUCAAAUCCGAACUCCAAAAACUGUCUAGAACCUGUCCUGCGAUCAUUAGAGAAUGUAUCUAAACAUAUUUUGCUUGUUUGGACAUAACUCACUGUAUAAAAUUCCAAAUGAGGUGAAUUUGACCUUGGGGAAAGCUAAGAUACAGAGGAACAACUUUUAUGAAGACCAAUUUGAUAAAUUAUGACUAAAACUUGACUGAAAUUGAAUUCCAAAAUCUAUCCAGAAGCUGCCCUGUAUUCUAGAAGGAAAAGUAGACAUGACUAGAUCCUGCUUAUUUGGUCAUAACUUGUGAUCUAUAAAUCAAAAUCAAGUGAUUCAAAACCCAAAUGAAAGUUAAGACAUAAAUCUAAAAAUCUUAUGAAGAAAGCAUAAGCUAAUUCUUGCAUUUAUUUAGUCCAAUUUCUAUUGGAAAACUGUAUAUACAUUCAGAAAUUUGCAAGAUUGUGCCAUUUUAAUCAUUAUUGCAAAUUGCAUAUGUAUUUAGUAUGCUUGAAUGUAAGGACUAUAUAAAUAUAGAAAUGGUAUGAGUAUGUUGGCACACAUAUCUUGACAUUUAUGUGAACAAAGAAUGUUGAAUGACUGCUAAUUUUGAAAGUUAAGCCAAUUAAGCCUAGACAAUGAGUAUAGGAUUGGAUAAGUGGGCAUACUACUGGUCAGAGCCACCGAGUGAUCAGUAUCGAGAAUGAAAGUUAGCAUUAUACAUGUCAGAGCCAUUGAGUGAUUAGUACCGAGAUGUAAGCCUGUGUUAAACCAACUAGAAUCACCGAGUGGUCAGUGUCAUGAGUCUCAUUAUCCAAUCUAUAUACCAUCUGUCAUAGGUUACUAUGAGUACUAGAGUAAAGUCUCCAAUUGUGAUCAUAGAGAUAGAUAAUAAUUUCAAAUAAGAUAUGAUAAAGUGCAUUUAACCUCAUUAAAUGGUAUGAUUAAUAAGUAUGGAUUUAUUGACUUAUUUUUAUGUCAUGAUGUUAUAUAUUUGUUUUAAUACUUUUAAAUACUCUUGUAUAAAUAUGAUGAGUAUAUUAUGUGUUAGUGUACAUAAAAAAAAUUAUUUUGUUUUAAAUUAAGAGUGUACCAAUAAGCUAUUUAGCUUAAUGUGAAGAUUUGUUUCCUCGCACAAGUAAAGUAGACAAAGUAUAGAUUUUGGUUGACAGGAGGUAGAGUGAAUUUGCAGAAAAGUCCAGAGUCACCAUAUCUUGGACUUUUGGGUAGAUGCAUCAUCAUCAUCCUUAUUGUAUAGUUUUACUCAUAUGUAUGUGUAACUUAUGUUGUAAAUAAUAUUUUGUAAAUUUCAUUCUUGGAAAUUGUAAUCAUAAGUAUGUAAAUUCAAUUUAACCACAUGAGUUGGUUAAUACAGUUGUAAAUUAAAGAUAUCUCUUGUGUUUAUACAAUCUUGGAUGAUGAAAUUGAUAUUGAUGAAAUUUGAUGAUUAUUAUAUGAUAGAAAUGAUAGAGUAAUUGAGGAUUUCAUAGGUUUUGAAAAAUGUUCUAACAGGUGAAUAGUUAAAAUUUAGGGGAGACUCUUGCAGUUUCUCUGUUAACAUAAACAGAUAUAUUUUUGUAAUUACACUUUUAAGUAAAUGAAGGAUAAUAGUUAAUAGACAGAGAUAGGUGCUCCUUUCACCAAAUGUGAUAUCUCCUUACUCGAUUUUACUAUAGAUAGGGUAAAAGGGGUGUUACAUAUGCCUUUGGGUGGCUUGCAAUGCCUCUUUGGGUGGACUUAUGCCUUGGGUGAGUUCUUUACACCACUUGGCGAACUUAUGCCUUUGGGUGGGUUGUCAAUGCCUUUUUAAGCAGACUUGUGCCUUGGGUGGGCUGUUUAUGCCACUUGGCGAACUUAUGCAUUUGGGUGGCUUGUCAAUGUCUUUUUAGUCAUACUUGUACCUUGGGUGGGUUCUCUAUGCCACUUGACAGACUUAUGCCUUAGAUGGCUUUGAACUUAUGCCUUGAAUGGCUUGUCAAUGCCUUUAGGUGGCUUGUCAAUGCAUUUAUGGUGGAAUUAUGCCUUAAAUAGCUUAUCGACACCCAUUUGGGCAGACUUAUGCCUUAAUGGCUUGUUAAUGCCUUUAUGGCAGAUUUAUGCCUUUGGGUGGUGUUGCAGUCCAUGAAAAUUCCUUAUGGAUAUGGACAUGAAAAACAAAUAACAAAUGGGUCAGAGGUCCAUCGAGUAUUCCCGGUAAGGAUCCUUCGAUGCACAAAUUAAAACUGAUGUAAGAGAAUAGUGUAUCAGAUUUAUUAAGGAGAAGAACAUACCUCCGUAGAUGAUCUGAUAUCUUUAUAUAGGAUAUAGACAAUGAUUGGUUAUAAUAACUCAACUAUGUAAUUAUGUAGAUAUUAUUAGCCAGUAUAAUUAUAAGAUUAUAUUUCUAUUUAUAGUGCACAAUUAUAGGCUUUGUUAUAUUUAGUAAUCCCACAAAGAUUGCUUGUUUUUAAUCAAGAUUCUUUCUUUUUAUUGAGUGGGUCAUACAAUGAUUGAAUUGAUUAAAUGAAUCUCAUGGCUGAACCAUUAAAUAUGAUUAUGCUCAUAGCCUAUCCAAAAAAACAAGUUACUAGAUUAAUUAUAUAUAUUUUGGGCAGCUAUCUCAUUAGCCCCCCCUUCAAGUAUGAAUCUUUAAGUUCACUUAGAUGUUGAAGCUUUGGCCAUUGCCCUAAAAUAUUUUUUGAGUGCAGACUAUCAACUUGAUAAAUUAUAAAUGACAAAUUAUUGCUUUAAUAAUUUUCAAGUGGUAGACUGUUACCUUUAGAUCGGCUACUGAAGCCUAUCAUCUUGGUGAACUGUCCCUUUAUUAGCCUCUUUAGGCUUUUUGGGUGAAUAUCGCCUACAUUCCUUUUCUGGUCUUAGGUGGGCGACGAUUGCCUUAGGUGCCUUUUCAAGCCUUAGGUGUAUUUUUCAGAUCUUAAGUAUCUUUUUCACAUCUUACAGUGCCUUUGUAGAUCUUAUAGUGCCUUUGUAGGUCUUAAAAUGUCUUUUUAGUUCUUAGAGUGCCUUUGCAGGUCUUAGAGUGUCUUUGUAGGUGUUUGGUGUCUUAUUCAGCUCUGACUGCCUUUUUUAGGUCUUACAGCCUUAUUCAGGUCUUUAGUAGCUCAUUGACGUCUUUGGUGCGUUAUUCGGGUCUUUCAUGCCUCGUUGAGGUCUUUGGUGCCUUAUUCAGUUCUCACUGCCUUUUUGUAGGUCUUAUUGCCUUAUUCAGGUCAUUGGUGCCUCAUUGAGGUCUUUGGUGCCUUAUUCAGUUCUCACUGCCUUUUUGUAGGUCUUAUUGCCUUAUUCAGGUCAUUGGUGCCUCA
rnacentral:misc_RNA from 1 species